GCGGUCGUGGCGGAAUUGGCAGACGCGCAAGAUUCAGGUUCUUGUGGGCGUAAGCUCGUGGAGGUUCAAGUCCUCUCGACCGCACCA
rnacentral:tRNA from 1 species